AUGUAGUGCUGUGUAGACUGAGCCUCCCGAGUGACUGCUUCGAGUGGAAUCCUCAACAUUUGCCUCAGAGUAUUAUGAAUUUUCUGAACUCAGAGAUAAAGAGAAAGUUCUUGGAUUUACUCUCUUUAUAUUGCAUGAGUUCUUAAAAGCCAAGAAUUUUCUCGUUUUUAUAUUUGGAAAGGCCAUGCUUGAGCCGGAA
rnacentral:lncRNA from 1 species